rnacentral:rRNA from 1 species
AUGCAGGACGAGCUCCUAGUUCGGGCAACAACAAGUCAUCUCCAUGGAUUUUGUCACUCCAGUUCCAUCACAUCUCCAUGGACGGCAUCCACAAACGACCAAGAUGACGACCAGGAGCCCGGCGACGGCGGCGACUACAACCUCUCCGUCUCCGAAAUUUGCCUUGCAAGAUGGCUCGUCGAAGAGAACGUCUUCAUACCUGCCAGUUCAGCUUCUUGUGUGUGUGGCGCGGGGACGAGUUGGGGUGGGGAAGCACCAACACCAUGGACGAUUUGGGCAUUGCUGCAGCCACCUAGCUCCAACCAGCGUCGGACAUAG